UUAUAACUAAACAAUUAGGGUUUAGGGGUAGGGUGGCUAAAUCUUGACCAUCCAUGUGCCUUGUGUGUUGGGAAGAUUGUGGCCCUCCAUGUGUCCCUUAGUUGCCAACUCUUUUUUUUCUUCUUUUCUUUUCAUUUUCUUCUUUUUCUUGCAUUUUCUCUUCUUUCUUUAUUUAUCUACAAUUUCCUGAAAUAAAAUAAAUAAGCGAUUAAUACUACGAAAAUAAACAAAAAAUAGGCACUUAAAUAUGCAAAAAUAUGGACUAAUCAAACUUCCCCAUACCUAUCUUUUGCUCGUCCUCGAGUAAAAAUCAAAAGAAAAG
rnacentral:lncRNA from 1 species